CAAAUAGAGAAUGUGCAGCAUUUCAGCAAAAAGUAUCAUUGAAUGACAGUGCUGUUAAUGUUUGUGUAAAUGAAGUGUUUUGGUGUUGGAUCAAUUUCUAUGCAUUGUGUAGUUUGUGAAUAAAGGAAAGCAUAAACGUUUUGCGGCAAAAUCAAAAAAAUCUUAUCACUUUAACUUCAUGUUAAGUGCUGUGGGUUUACUUGGUGAGCUUAAGUACCAUGUAGCUGCCUGACUAGCAGAAAGAAAAACAAUGUUAUGUCAUUCCGCUAUUUGGCAAAGGGUCAACUCACCCACUAGGCAAGUCACUCAGAUGUUAGCCGGUUAUUCGUAUUGGCAAUAUGAACAUUUUGAUUAUUGGUAUUGCUUAAAAUUUACAUACUGGUGCACCACUACCUGCCAUCAAAGAAAUUUACUUUCCACUAUGUUAUUAAAAUACUAGAUAAUGGCUUUUUUAUGGACUUCUUUAACAAAGUUGGUUGAAUUAAUAAUUACUUACAAGGCUCUCCUUCAAUUCCGCCCAGGAUGGCAAGUCUUGCUGACAUGAGUCCCAGCCCUAAGUAGCUGUUUGGAAUAGAAUAAGAGGCACCACUGUGACACCACCUGCUUCGCAGGCACAAAAGCUGACCUAAGGGGGCUGUGAAUUCAGCACUGAUACUCGUCCUCAGCAAACAUCAUGAUGGCUGAGAACUUGGCUGGCCAAUGUUGUGCUGCUUCUGCCACAAGAUGGGUUCCUUAAUGAGUCUCUCCAUAAUUGAUUUGAUGAUCUCUUUGUAAUUAGCACUCUUUGGGGCAUAGAUAUCCUUGUAACAAACUAAGUCUUUUGGACAGGCAUUUUGUGGGAAGGAGAACUGCAGCGUUGCAGAGAUAAUGAAAGCAGACAUCUUUUUGUCGGUGGGGGGGCCUGCUGGCAGCAGGAUGUAGUGUCUUAAGAAUGAUCUGUUCCUGCCUUUUGGCAGCAGCUCCCCAUACGGUGCACAGCAGCCGUCAUGAGGCCUCAGUGAGCCGACUGAGAUUACAUGCAACAGUUGGGUCCUGGGGAGUGAUGGGGCAGGUCUUGUCCUUCCAGGACAUCCAGAGCUCAAGGGUUGAGGGUAAAUCGCUGAGAUAGUGACGAAGCCCCAAGGGAACUACAGCCAGAUGUAGUCAGGCCACUCUGUUUGCCCAGCACAUUUCUCCACAUCCUUCCUCUGGUGGACUUUUUGAUGAAUUUGUCUUUUAAGCAUGGUAUCCUUUUAUAUGACUGAUAUAAUCCAAGUCAAACAUUACUUCUAGAUUACAACUGAGAAAAAAAAGUUUAAACUGGAAGCAGUUAAAUGAUGCCCUCCUUGAAACAAUCUUUGAAUAAAGAAAUAUUUUUUUUUAGUCUCCAGUCCGUAAUGCCUGUAUGAAAUUUCUACUGUAUGAAUUUCAGAUCCUGAAGCUUACAGCUUACAAAAUUACACUGGGUAACAAAUUUUUAUGAAAGGUCUGUUUGCAGAUCUCUGACUAGAUCAAGUUCCUGCUGGUUUGGAAAGUGAUGUUCAACAGAUUGCCAAGCUUCUCCGGCUUCUUCAUACUUGAUCGAACACUUCCAUGUUGGCUUCAUCUGUUGUUGGUGAGACUGAAAUAGGCUCUGGAAAAUGUUCAUCAUGUAGCACUGGUGCAAUAGAAGAUGGCAUAUCAGGAUAGACUAGCUUUGUCUUGUCCUGCGGCUUCUUAUAAACAGCAAUAUCCACCAUGCAUGUAGCAGUCAUUCAUGUGGUUUGUUGGCUCUCUCCAAAUUCUAGGGGCUGCAAAUGGCAUACUUUUCCUGGUGCCUCUUAACCACCCUUCCAAUGUUGAUUUGCAGCAGCCACAUAUAACAUGAGGAGCCCAGGAUUUGUCUUGGUUCCCAAUGGGCAUUCCAAAAUACUUCUAAAGCUUAGUAAUACUUUGUGUCCCUUGAUAUCGUACAUUUCACUUGAGCAGGACCAAUAUAAUAUCCACAAAUGUAACAGAAACAGUCAGCUGGUAAUUUACAGUGUCUAGAAGAAAUGUUUGCCUACAUGUACAACAAAAAAACAACACAUUAAUAUGCAAAAAGGUAAAAGUAUAACAAAAGACCAUGUCAGCCGAGCUGCCAAGUUUAGUUUUUUCUAAAAAUGACGCUUCUAACUAAACCCUUGAAGUUACAUGAAAAAAUGAAAAACAUUGCCACCGAAAUCAGCAUGCCGAAAUUGUAUAAUGAACACUACAAAAUGUAAUGAAACAAAUUUCUGUGGCCUAAUGUUAUUAUAAAUUAAACAUUUGACUUUGUAA